rfam:Mustela putorius furo unplaced genomic scaffold scaffold00052, whole genome shotgun sequence.
GCAUUGGUGGUUCAGUGGUAGAAUUCUCACCUGCCACACGGGAGGCUGGGGUUAAAUUCCCGGCCAAUGCA